AGAGUUUGAUCAUGGCUCAGAACGAACGCUGGCGGCGUGCCUAAUACAUGCAAGUCGUACGAGAACAUUCCCUUCGGGGAAUUAGUAAAGUGGCGCACGGGUGAGUAACACGUGGGUAAUCUACCCUGGGGUUCGGGAUAACAUCGGGAAACCGUUGCUAAUACCGGGUAAGCUCACAGGCUCUACGGGGUCAGUGAGAAAAGAGGGCCUCUUCCUGAAAGCUCUCGCCUCUGGAUGAGCCCGCGGACCAUUAGCUUGUUGGUGAGGUAACGGCUCACCAAGGCUGCGAUGGUUAGCUGGUCUGAGAGGAUGAUCAGCCACACUGGGACUGACACACGGCCCAGACUCCUACGGGAGGCAGCAGUAGGGAAUAUUGCGCAAUGGGGGAAACCCUGACGCAGCAACGCCGCGUGGGUGAAGAAGGCUUUCGAGUUGUAAAGCCCUGUCAGGAGGGAAGAAAUGCGUAACGGACCAAUACCCGUUGCGUUUGACGGUACCUCGAGAGGAAGCACCGGCUAACUCUGUGCCAGCAGCCGCGGUAAUACAGAGGGUGCAAGCGUUGUUCGGAAUUAUUGGGCGUAAAGCGCGUGUAGGCGGUCUGCCAAGUCGGGUGUGAAAGCCCUCGGCUUAACCGAGGAAGUGCGCCCGAAACUAGCAGACUUGAGUACCGGAGAGGGUGGCGGAAUUCCCGGUGUAGAGGUGAAAUUCGUAGAUAUCGGGAGGAACACCAGCGGCGAAGGC
rnacentral:rRNA from 1 species